rfam:Dethiosulfatibacter aminovorans DSM 17477 genome assembly, contig: EJ55DRAFT_scaffold00047.47
AACAGAGUAGAUGAAAUGCGUCAAGUGUCAAAGGAUGGGAUGUUGCCUUUGAACGAAGGGGAGACCCGCGUUGUUUUAUCGCUUCCGCUGUU